rnacentral:lncRNA from 1 species
GGCUGAUCUUCCAGAGGAUCUGUUUGGUUCCCAGUACCCACAUGGUGGCUUACAACCAUCUGAUGCCCUCUUCUGGUCUCUAUGGACACUAUAUGCAUGUGAUGCCCAUACAUGCAUGCAGGCCAAACGUUCAUGUACAUAAAAAAUAAAUAAAAUAAAGGGCCGUAGUAGUGGCUCGGUGACUUCAAGCACAUAUUCUUGCAGAGGACCUGGGUUCAGGUCUCAGCAUCCACAUGGUGGUUCACAACCAUCUGUAACAAUGGCUUAAUGGGAUCUGAUGCUGUCUUUUGACCUCCAUGGGCACCAGACAAGCAUUUGGUACAUAUACCUGUAUGCAGGUUAAGUAGUCAUAUGCAUUGCGGAUGGAGAGGUGGCUCAGUGGUGGAGCGUCCUAUCCUAGCUGCUCUUCCAGGGCUUUUGGGUUUAGUUCCCAGCAUAGACAUGUUCACUCACAAGGGAUCCGAUGUCCUCUUCUGCCCUCUGUGGGCACUGUACACAUGUGGUACACAAAUGUACAAAUAGGCAAAACACCCAUGUACAUAUGAGAGGGGAAAUCUAAUUUUUCAAAAAAACAUUAAAAGUAAAAUGAGCCAGGUGCUGUGGCAAAUGACUUUAAUCCCAGUUCUCGGGAGGCCAAAGCUAGCCUGGUCUACAGAACGAGUUCCAGGACAGCCAGUGCUGCACAGAGAAACCCUGCCUCAAAAAACC